GUCGCCUCCUAAAAUGUAACGGAGGCGCCCAAAGGUUCCCUCAGAAUGGUUGGAAAUCAUUCGCAGAGUGUAAAGGCACAAGGGAGCUUGACUGCGAGACCUACAAGUCGAGCAGGGACGAAAGUCGGGCUUAGUGAUCCGGUGGUUCCGCAUGGAAGGGCCAUCGCUCAACGGAUAAAAGCUACCCCGGGGAUAACAGGCUUAUCUCCCCCAAGAGUCCACAUCGACGGGGAGGUUUGGCACCUCGAUGUCGGCUCAUCGCAUCCUGGGGCUGUAGUCGGUCCCAAGGGUUGGGCUGUUCGCCCAUUAAAGCGGUACGCGAGCUGGGUUCAGAACGUCGUGAGACAGUUCGGUCCCUAUCCGUCGCGGGCGCAGGAAAUUUGAGAGGAGCUGUCCUUAGUACGAGAGGACCGGGAUGGACGCACCGCUGGUGUACCAGUUGUUCUGCCAAGGGCAUCGCUGGGUAGCUAUGUGCGGACGGGAUAAGUGCUGAAAGCAUCUAAGCAUGAAGCCCCCCUCAAGAUGAGAUUUCCCAUUCCGCAAGGAAGUAAGAUCCCUGAAAGAUGAUCAGGUUGAUAGGUCUGAGGUGGAAGCGUGGUGACACGUGGAGCUGACAGAUACUAAUAGAUCGAGGACUUAACCUAU
rnacentral:rRNA from 1 species